GCUCCGUGGCGCAUCCGCGUAGGGGUGCAGCUGAGGACACCGGAGAUCAGCUGAGGGUGCCUACUGCGACCUUGUCACUCUGGCCGCGCGCUCAGCCUUCGGCCAGCUCCUGCCCAGGACCCACAUGCUCCCCUCAUCCUCCCUGCGACCUGGGCGCUGGUUCUCCACAGUGACCGUACAGUUCCUGGCCGCCGCUGAUUUCGACCUCGCGUCCCUCCAAGGCCCAUUCGUGUGGGAGACCAACCCUGGCAGCCAGACCCGAGCCGGCGGGGAACAGCGCGCCCAAGCUGAGGGAGAUCUAGACUGACCAUGACCAUGAGCCACGCUGGAAGAUCCAGGUUCCGUAACUACUUCUUUGAUGCCUUGUUUCUGCUGCUAUAACAAAACAUGAAGUUGGGUGCUUUAUGAAGAAAAGAGGUUUGUUUGACUUACAAUUUUGAAGGCUGAAAAGCAUGGCACUAGUCCCUGGUAAGUCUCCAUGGUGUGUGACAACACAGCAGAGAAGCCAAGAAGAGAACCCACCUUCUGUAUACAGAAGGAUCAAUCACAAGCUAUAGUCUCCCUUAAAGCAACAGCUCCCAUGAAGUUUCAUGCUACAGACCAGCAUUUGUCACUUCCUAGUGUGGAAUCCCCAUGCCUAACCUUGCUCUAAACUCUAGAAGUUCUAAUAGCAGGGGCCAGCUCUCAGGUGGGUUCACUGGUCCCAAAGAAUGUGGCCAGAGAAAUCACCAUGCAGACAGGGAGACAGAGGAGAGGAGGUAGAAAGAGAGAGUGUACACACAGAGAAAUGGAAAGAGAGAGAGAGAGAGAGAAAGAUAACAAAAUGUCUGUAUUAUGUAGAAAGAAUCUCUUGUGUACUGUGUGAAAGCAUCAGGUGAUAAGAGAGCUGAUCAGACAAUUAGCUGGAGAGAAGAGAUAGGGCAGAACUUCUAAUCCCAGUGAAGAGGUCCAAAGGGAGACCAGAACACCGUGGAGGACCACAAGGAGAAGAAGGUUUGGAGAGACCAGGCGCAUUCACUGAGAUGGCUGUGAGAAAGUAGCCAUGAGGACACACAUGAGCCAGAACAAACCAGGGGGAGACGCAGAUGCAGGUAAAGGACCAUUUUGCUGGGCAGUAGCAGCCUAGUUGGGUUAUAAUAGUUUGGAAUCUGCCCAGCUAUAAGUGAUUGCAGCUCUUUCAUUAACCAACCAGAGGUGAUGGAAAGCAAUUUUUAUAUAAUGAAAACAGAGCUUCUUGACCAUGCUGUCAUCUAGACUGUAACCAGAUGUCUGGACAUAGAAAUCAGCAUCUGAAUGCCCAGUGCACAGAACCAUCCUCCAUCAGGAUUGUAUAGGAAAGAACCUCUUAGGAGGGGAAGCCCAGCCUUAGCCUUCCACACCUGUGUUCACUUUAACGAAACAUUCCUUCACGUGUUUGCUGCAGCAAAACACCAUCCAUCGGACUUUCGAAAGAACCUUUAAGUUCCCACCUCACCCUUUGCCCCGUUAACCUUUCUUUCCCACUACCUCAGGUGGGUGGUGGGCUAGAAGGAAGAUUGGAACAUUGAAGAAACCUUAUUAAAGUAGAUUUUGAAAAAUCUAAUCCAAGAAGGGUGGGGUUGGUCGCAGAGAUGGUUUGGUCCUCAGAAUGUUUGCCAAUAUCUAGGGCAUUCAGGUCUGUUAUGGGGUCUCUGGGGGACUGGUAUUGGGGCCACCUGCUUAGAGAGACUACCCAUUGUGUGAUGUUUUGGGGGGUAGGGAGAUGAGGGUGUGGUGUCAGAGGUUUGCCUUUCUACACUCAAUCAGGAAGCUGCCCUUUCGAGCUAUUGCCUGUGCCUGUCUGGCUGCGGGAUGUGAUGUGUGAGUCUAUGAAGCAUGCAUCUAUGGGACUCCAGGGAACCCUGAGAAUGGGCCCUUCCUGAGAAACCUGGCAGCCUCCCACACUCACUGCGGCUUCUACCUCAUUAGGCUGGGAAGGAAUAAGACCACUACCACAAUUUUAAAUCAAAUUUGAAUGAAGCAAGCUGGAUUUUAUUGGGGUGCAUUGAAGAGCUGGGUAGCAACUGCCUCCUAAGUUGGGCAAAGAUAACAGUCCCAAAUCCAUUUCCUGGGACCCUUUUAAGGAAUAAAAUCACAAGUAGUUGCAAAGUAGGUUUACAAAAGAGAGAGAUGGAAUAAAGGAAACACAGAAAAAUCUCAAAAAAACAAAGACAAAAAACCCAAACAACAAACACCACACCACCACAUGAACAGGGAGGGUCUCAGAGGAUCAUGGUGUUCUCAAAAUCAAGUCAGGGUCGUGGGUUCAGGCAGGUCAGGCUCCAGGAAACAGA